rnacentral:rRNA from 1 species
AGCGAACGUUUGCGGCGGGCCUGACACAUGCAAGUCGAACGCACUAGCAAUAGUGAGUGGCGCACGGGUGCGUAACACGUGGGUAAUCAACCCUUCAGCCUGGGAUAACGACUCGAAAGGGUCGCUAAUACCGGAUACGGCGCGAGAGGCUUCGGCUUCUCACGAGAAAGCCACGCAAGGGGCACUGAAGGACGAGCCUGCGGCCCAUCAGCUAGUUGGUGAGGUAAGAGCUCACCAAGGCUAAGACGGGUAGCUGGUCUGAGAGGAUGAUCAGCCACACUGGAACUGAGACACGGUCCAGACUCCUACGGGAGGCAGCAGUGGGGAAUAUUGCGCAAUGGGCGAAAGCCUGACGCAGCCACGCCGCGUGAGCGAUGAAGGCC